ACGCACGCUGGCGGCGUGCUUAACCCAUGCAAGUCGAACGGAAAGGCCCUGCUUUUGUGGGGUGCUCGAGUGGCGAACGGGUGAGUAACACGUGAGUAACCUGCCCUUGACUUUGGGAUAACUUCAGGAAACUGGGGCUAAUACCGGAUAGGAGCUCCUGCUGCAUGGUGGGGGUUGGAAAGUUUCGGCGGUUGGGGAUGGACUCGCGGCUUAUCAGCUUGUUGGUGGGGUAGUGGCUUACCAAGGCUUUGACGGGUAGCCGGCCUGAGAGGGUGACCGGCCACAUUGGGACUGAGAUACAGCCCAGACUCCUACGGGAGGCAGCAGUGGGGAAUAUUGCACAAUGGGCGGAAGCCUGAUGCAGCAACGCCGCGUGCGGGAUGACGGCCUUCGGGUUGUAAACCGCUUUCGCCUGUGACGAAGCGUGAGUGACGGUAAUGGGUAAAGAAGCACCGGCUAACUACGU
rnacentral:rRNA from 1 species